AUUUAUUCUCUACGGUAAUCGCAGGUGGUCAUUUCAGCAGGUGCAUACAACUGAACCGCCGGGACACACUCUAAAGCAAAUGUGCAGGUGCAGAAGCAUAUGUCCGUUUGGUAGACUGAUUAAGUUUUAUCCGCGACAGCUUUAUGGGUUGUAUUUUGUCAAUUAUCUCUCAAGUAUAUCGUCAACAACUUGGGGAGCUGAUGGAAAAAUUCCGCAUUAAGCAGCUGCGAUUAAUGAACUGUACUUCUAUUGUACAACGACGCUCGAGCCGCACGGCGAAAAUCACGAUGAUAAAGCUACAGUUGAGAAUUUUUUGAUCAUUUACCAAACUCAUAUUACCGAUCGCCAUUUUUGUCGAAACGUUUCAUACAUAACGUUCUAAUAGGUUUACUUGCAAUAUGCAUUAGGUUGAGCAAAACGAUGCCGUUGUUUUUUUGAUGUUUAAUUGUAACUUUCGAUGGAGUGAAAACAGACGUAAGUUAGAGUUGUUCCAUUCGCUGUCUACCUGCUCGCCCACAUUUCUUGUAGUUGAUGUAUCCCAAGAAAUAGAAAAGGCUUCGUUCUUGGACGCGAUUUACUCGUCGGCCCAUUUGCAGACUUCAGCUUCUAUUCUGAAGUGUUUACCUUCCUGGCUACGCUGCAUUGCCCAAAACAAAUGAUAAUCAGACAGAUCGAUGUCGGGACAGAGUUGCCUACUACAGCUGUUUGCCCUUGCUGAGUCACCAAGGCUGUAUGCAGUGUCACGUUAUCAUGCGGCAAUAUCGCUUCGCCUCAUCUUUUGACAGUCCAAGGCCUUUUCUGUCAAUUUUGUGGCUCAGAUGGAUGAGUUCCUUCUGUGUAAUGGGUUUCCGUACUUUAUUUAAGGUUUGAGUAGCUCAGGGUGUAACACUUCCUUCUUAUUCCCCCGAUGCAAAGGUGCAGACCUUACCUAUGAAUAUACUUUUGCAGCGUCGAACUGGGAGAUCUAACGAUUCUCGUUUAUGUUAACGUGAAUGAUCACUCUUCCAUCGCCGGUAACGAUAUUUUGUAGGAUUGAUCUUCUUUUCUGCCAAGCAAGCAACGGAGAGUCUGCUGUCAUACAUACUACAUUGGAUUCACACAGGCCCAGCUUUCGUCCCUUUCUGCUAUUUCUAGUGCAUGGAAGUAAUUUUGGGUUACUUUUAGUUAUCUAAAAAGUUUUUCGGUCGACUGCGCCACAAUCUCCUAAGGUGUCCGCACUUCAUCAUCGUUCGCUCCUUAUGGCCGUAUGGAGCGUGGCCUGUCGUUCAAGUCUAAAUCUUUUAUUCUGAAGCAAUUAAGUGAAAACUGGAAAAUGUUCCCCUUCGAUUUCGCUAAUAGUUCUGGAAGCAGUUACCAAGCACGAAAACAGUGUCGAAUAUGCAUAUAUUCAAGCCACAUAACUGAACGCACUGAAUCACUAGGACAGCUUCAUAAAAACUGCAACAUACGCGCCCGAUAUUCAAACAUGAGAAGUUUCAGCUAGAUACGGUCGGCCGAUCUGUCCAAUCUAGCGGGAACUUUUCACUCUAUCUAAUAUUAUAGUGCAAUGAAAACAACGUAAUCAAAUAUACAGAGUGGAUGAAUUAAUUUAGUUAGAUAGCGAUCUUGUGUGGUGCUGAUACUUAGAUGGACAUACGGCAACGCGGCAAAUGGGACACGAUGUUAAAAGAAAGCAACGGACGCUCGAGUAAACCUUUGUAAGACUAACUUUCAGUAAUGAACGCGUUCCGAGGGCGCAUCCAUUGCGACUAACAAUUAAAACUCUUUCCGCGUGAUCCCCAACGGGUGGCCUAUGGUGGAAGAGUUUUGCUACUGACAAGUACGCUCCUAGACAGUUCACUAGAGCAUAGGAAAUCAUCCCUUAUGGAGGAGCUUGCCUGUACUUCUGGCCUGAUGUUGUCGCCCGUUUUUGAAGGUGCUCUUUGAUCCGUACGCUGCUUCUACGAAAAGCCGCACAAACCUUUCAACUCUACUCGUUACUUGAGGCACAAGUAUACGUAGCAGACGAAUCGCCAGAUUCCCGCAUCGGGCGUUCCGAUUUUCCGGGAUUUGUUUCAAGGCUCGAUACACGUGGAAGAUUCGGCAAACGCUCUUCAUCCACAUUUCGCGUACUUCUGGCCAGCGAAAGAAAACAGUAACCCUACGCACGUGAGGAUAACGUUUCCAAAUUCUCCCCGCUUACAAUCACCAUCCCACAUUGCAAUUUGCUAUCGACGAUCGUGCUCUGGGCACGCGAACUAUCGUGACUAUAACGCCUGUGUUCUUUAUCGAAAAGCUUUAGCUUAUUUUGCUCUUCUCUGUGGGACAGACAAUCAUACAAACACCUACAAUUCCCCUCACCUUCGGAUCUUCGAAUAUCACACAAACGAUAAAGUGAGCUCGCGGUCAGGGCGAAGAUGGUUAAAAUUGUACAACUGUAUUUUGUGGUGCAGUACAAAUAGGAGAAAGAAAAAGAUAGGAAGUAUUCUGAUGACUCCUUUCCUUCUAUUACAAAGACUAGGCAAUGGUAAAGAAGGUGCACUAUAUAUACACUGUACAUUUGCUAUGAUUACAGAGUUAGUUUCGAGAAUUCGACUACCGCAGGGAAACACACGAAACUAUCCUCACUAAAAGUUAGACCUCUAUAGAAGAAUUUCUAUAGGAUUUCUUCUAUGGAUAUUCUACAGUCAAAUCACUAACUCGAACCGUAAACACCCUUUUCUCUCAUGAAGCCAAUAUGUGGGUUAAGACUGCUAGAAAAUACUUGGAACUGGCUCAAGUUUGUUUGGCUUAAGGCGGAAAUAAUUAUUGUUGAAAUACGAUCCAACAUCAUCCCUAUGAGGCUUAUAUUCGUGACUCCAGGCGGUAGGCUGCGCAUAGAACCAAGGUGGUGCUUAAACACGAACCUUGAGGCAUGUCAAAUGGGCAGAAAUGUAGGUACUUGUUAGAUUGAUUCUAUUCAUAUGUCAGUAUGUACAUAUAUACCGACGUUUUUUUCAUUAAAAGGUCACAUGUGAUAAUAUAUUUGUACCUUAGAACAAACGCUGAACUAGCGUCAUCUAGGCUUUUAUCGAGUAGCCAUGUAUCACUAGCCACUAAAAAGGACCUUUAAAUCAAACACUAGCAUGUGAAUAGGAGUCAAAAUUUAAUCUACGACACUAACUCGUUUUCAAUGAAAGUGUAUAUGUGUUAUACGUAUCGCAGCCUCAAUCUACGUCGUGACGAGAACAGCAAACUAACAAAACUAGGGUAGCGAGACUACAGCCGCUAUUAUGCCGCUUCACCGACACGACCGUACUCGAGGUACUACCAUCAUAAGUGACUUCAUUUUGCGGACGACAACGCCCAUCAGCGGUAGUCCGUAUAGUGAAGCUAUCUAUUGUAUGUCUUAUUGUAGUUGUUGUGCUCGUUUAUAUAGGUUAGAUUGCGGCCACGGGUUUCAUCUUGACGUAAUGGCGACCGACUGUUACGCUGUUGCUAUUUCUGGUAAAUGUUGAAAAAUGCGAUUGAUCUUACUUUUCGUUUGUGGGUUCCACAUUUUGCCUCCGGUCGCUUCAUUCAGACCGACUACUACAGUGAUGAGUUCUGGCGGCGCUUUGAUGCCCUCGCAAAGCCUGACAGCGAGUGAGGAAGGAAGAGAUCGCAGCCUCAUCCCUGAGCUCAUCACACACCGACAAACAACUCGUUAUGCCGGCAUAUUUUAAAGUCGCCCCACCUCUAAAUCCCGUCUAUCCCUCCAUCUAUCCAGUGUUCGCGUUACGGGCACGUCAUGACACAUUAAAGCAGCAUCCGACGCCCUCUGUUUCCUUCAUUCUGCUAUCUUUUUCUGCACUUCAUCAGUAUAUAGAGCUCUCUUGACUCUAAUCGGUAUAUGUACGCGGCUCAUCCGCUAACAAUGAAUGCUUUGACAAACUUGGAAUGACGACGUGAAUAUAUGGCUUCACUUAGAGAAACUACAGCUGCGGCUGAGCUAGUAAAUUAGGCGUUUAAUGCUUUUAGAUCGUUUGUACGUUAUAUCCUUUGCACAUUAAAGGAUAUUCGAGGCUUACUAACAACAACAACAUCCAACUACUACUACCACCCUAACAAUAACAACAUUUGGAGCCAAACAGACUAGAAAUAGAUAAAUCGAUGUAAUACUGUUUAGUUAAUCAAAUCUCCCAACAUAGGAGGGCUUCAACUACUGAAGGAAGCGAAGUUCACGUAACGAACUGUUGUCCUUGUCAAAACUUCAACGGUGUUGAUGUAUAAUCUGCGAGGCGCACCGUACGUAAAGCUCGCAUUGAUAGCGCCUUUUCUACAACCUGCGUUGAAACGAACAAAAACACAAACACAACCAUAUAUUCUCUAAAAACGUCCAUAGCUCUCAAGGAUGCAGCCAUUUGUUUAAACUAUAAAUACCUAAUAUAGCAUACGGAAUUACGAAGUUGCUGGUCGAUGGU
rnacentral:lncRNA from 1 species